GCGAGGCCGAAAGGCGUAGUCGAUGGGAAACAGGUUAAUAUUCCUGUACUUGGUGUUACUGCGAAGGGGGGACGGAGAAGGCUAUGUUAGCCGGGCGACGGUUGUCCCGGUUUAAGCAUGUAGGCUGGUUGUCCAGGCAAAUCCGGAUAAUCAAGGCUGAGGUGUGAUGACGAGGCACUACGGUGCUGAAGUAACAAAUGCCCUGCUUCCAGGAAAAGCCUCUAAGCAUCAGGUAACAUUAAAUCGUACCCCAAA
rnacentral:rRNA from 1 species